UACGGAGGGUGCGAGCGUUGUCCGGAAUCACUGGGCGUAAAGGGCGCGUAGGUGGCCUGUGGAAGUCUGCGGUGAAAGCCCGGCGCUCAACGCCGGGUCGGCCGUGGAUACUCUCGGGCUCGAGCUUACUAGAGGCAGAUGGAAUUCCGGGUGUAGCGGUGGAAUGCGUAGAGAUCCGGAAGAACACCGGUGGCGAAGGCGGCCUGCUGGGGUAAUGCUGUCACUGAUGCGCGACAGCGUGGGGAGCAAACAGG
rnacentral:rRNA from 1 species